rnacentral:rRNA from 1 species
AAGUGGGAGGUAAAAUUGUCGAAAGGAUAAAUAUUGGCCAGAGACCGAUAGCGCACAAGUAGAGAGAGGAAGAUGAAAAGAACUUUGAAAGAGAGUUAAACAGCACGUGAAAUUGUUGAAAGGGAAAGGAUUGCAACCAGACUUGCCCGCGGGGUACCACCGGUCUUCGGACGGGUUCGUGCACCGCGUUGCGCGCCACCAUCUCCUGCUGCCGCUGGACAAGACCGUAGGUAUGCAUGCCCGUUGAGGUGGUUAACAUCAAUUUUGGGGGGCAUAAAAUGGCUGGGGGGAAGUAGCUUCCAAUAAAAA